UUGAACGCUGGCGGCAUGCCUAACACAUGCAAGUCGAACGGCAGCAUGGUCUAGUUUACUAGACUGAUGGCGAGUGGCGGACGGGUGAGUAACGCGUAGGAAUAUACCUUAAAGAGGGGGAUAACUUGGGGAAACUCAAGCUAAUACCGCGUAAGUUCUGAGGAAGAAAGCUGGGGACCUUUUGGCCUGGCGCUUUAAGAAUAGCCUGCGUACGAUUUGCUAGUUGGUGAGGUAAGGGCUCACCAAGGCGACGAUCGUUAGCUGGUCUGAGAGGAUUGCCAGCCACACUGGGACUGAGACACGGCCCAGACUCCUACGGGAGGCAGCAGUGGGGAAUAUUGGACAAUGGGGGGAACCCUGAUCCAGCAAUGCCGCGUGUGUGAAGAAGGCCUGAGGGUUGUAAAGCACUUUCAGUGGGGAGGAGGGUUGAUUGGUUAAGAGCUGAUUAAUUGGACGUUACCCACAGAAGAAGCACCGGCUAACUCCGUGCCAGCAGCCGCAGUAA
rnacentral:rRNA from 1 species